rnacentral:rRNA from 1 species
ACGUAGGGUGCAAGCGUUGUCCGGAAUUAUUGGGCGUAAAGAGCUCGUAGGCGGUUUGUCGCGUCUGCUGUGAAAAUCCGAGGCUCAACCUCGGACCUGCAGUGGGUACGGGCAAACUAGAGUGCGGUAGGGGAGAUGGGAAUUCCUGGUGUAGCGGUGGAAUGCGCAGAUAUCAGGAGGAACACCGAUGGCGAAGGCACAUCUCUGGGCCGUAACUGACGCUGAGGAGCGAAAGCGUGGGGAGCGAACAGGAUUAGAUACCCUGGUAGUCCACGCCGUAAACGGUGGGUGCUAGUUGUGGGUUCCAUUCCACGGAAUCCGUGACGAAGUUAACACAUUAAGCACCCCGCCUGGGGAGUACGGUCGCAAGACUA